AGGACUGGUUCGCGUGACACCAAGAAGCUGAUAAAGGACCAAGGUCAAAGAAGAUCGGUGGGAAAAGAUGCUACAACCGCUGGCACGAUCGACGGGACCAGCAACGUCAGAGGAGGUUCAUAACUAGCCACGACUCCUGACCGGAAAAAUGCUCUUUCGCAGAUCCGCUACUCGACUAUCCUUUGUUUUAUUCUCAAUGUCGCAGCAAGCAACGCGAUCGUCCGCGCCGUCACACUUAUAAAAUACAAAGCGUACCGAGUUAGUCAAUAAAAA